UCCGAGUUGACCCCGGCAGUCUCCCAUGAGUCCCCACCAUAACGUGCUGGCAACAUGGAACGAGGGUUGCGCUCGUUGCGGGACUUAACCCAACAUCUCACGACACGAGCUGACGACAGCCAUGCACCACCUGUGAACACCCCCGAAGGAGACCCCAUCUCUGAGGCUGUGGUGUACAUGUCAAACCCAGGUAAGGUUCUGCGCGUUGCGUCGAAUUGAACCACAUGCUCCACCGCUUGUGCGGGCCCCCGUCAACUCCUUUGAGUUUUAACCUUGCGGCCGUAAUCCCCAGGCGGGGGACUUAAUGCGUUAGCUUCGACACGGAAGGGGUCGAUCCCACCCGCGUCUAGUGCCCAUCGUUUACGGCGUGGACUAC
rnacentral:misc_RNA from 1 species